rnacentral:rRNA from 1 species
AACGAACGCUGGCGGCAGGCCUAACACAUGCAAGUCGAGCGGACCCUUCGGGGUUAGCGGCGGCCGGGUGAGUAACGCGUGGGAAUAUGCCCUUCUCUACGGAAUAGUCCUGGGAAACUGGGGGUAAUACCGUAUACGCCCUUUGGGGGAAAGAUUUAUCGGGGAAGGAUUAGCCCGCGUUGGAUUAGGUAGUUGGUGGGGUAAUGGCCUACCAAGCCGACGAUCCAUAGCUGGUUUGAGAGGAUGAUCAGCCACACUGGGACUGAGACACGGCCCAGACUCCUACGGGAGGCAGCAGUGGGGAAUCUUAGACAAUGGGGGCAACCCUGAUCUAGCCAUGCCGCGUGAGUGAUGAAGGCCUUAGGGUUGUAAAGCUCUUUCAGCUGGGAAGAUAAUGACGGUACCAGCAGAAGAAGCCCCGGCUAACUCCGUG